GUGCUCACUUUGGCAGCACAUAUACUAAAAUUGGAACAAUACAGAGAAGAUUAGCUUGGCCCCUGUGCAAGGAUGACACGCAAAUUCGUGAAGUGUUCCAUAAAAAA
ensembl:snRNA U6 U6 spliceosomal RNA